rnacentral:rRNA from 1 species
UUUGGCCUGCCCAAUGAUAUUUUAAUGGCCGCAGUAUUUUGACUGUGCAAAGGUAGCAUAAUAAUUAGUUUCUUAAUUAGGAACUGGUAUGAAUGGUGGAAUGAGAAAAAAUCUGUCUUUAUUUGAUUUAUUUUAGAAUUUUAUUUUUAAGUUAAAAAGCUUAAAUUUUAUUUAAAGACGAGAAGACCCUAUAGAGUUUAAUAAUUUAUUUAUUUUAUAUUACAUUAAGAAUUUAAUUUUGUUAAAUAUUUAAUUUAUUUUGUUGGGGUGAUGGAAAAAUUUAAUUAACUUUUUCUUUUAUAUUAUCAAGUUUAAUUGUUUUAUUGAUCCAUUAUUAGUGAUUAUAAGAUUAAAUUACCUUAGGGAUAACAGCGUAAUUUUCUUGGAGAGUUC